CGGAGAUUAAUUAUGUGGGUUGGCCAGAGUGGGUGAAGCGUUGUGGCAGUGGGUGUGGUAAAUUCUCAAGGUAGUAAUUAAUAGCUGUGCUGCAGAGUGUCCCUCGAAAUUUUUUUUCAAAUGUUGGCAACUAUGAGAUAGUGUUUCUACUGGCAUUUUAUGUUGUCCUGGCUAUGUAACUAUAUAAUGAUGUGACAAUGUAUGUGUUUUCUGUCUGUCAUUGCAGGCAAUGCUUUUGUAAUGUCAGUGCAUUGCAGUUUUUGUAGUGAGAUAUCCUGCACCUGCUCCUCUGUGCGGCUCCAAGCACAGUAAUAGACACUGGUAUCGUUCACACCAAUUUUCUCAAUGUUCAGAUUGAAUUGGGACUGGCUAUUUCUUUCUGCUGUGAAAUGAGUGUGUUCAGGCUGAUUCACUGAGCCCAUUCCUAAAGAAUAACAAACAAACUCCAGGGCCCCCCCACUUAGCCCCUGUCUGUACCAGUACAUGUAGGGAUCGCCAGCAUUGGUCACAUUACAUGUCAGGGACACCUUGUCUCCUGGGUGAGCAAUGUGAGUGAGAGGAUACUGUUGGAUGGUCUGAGUCAGGCUGGAGGGUAGUGUGAGGAAAAGGAGGUGUACUCUCACUGUGAGUGCGAGGAGUGAGCGAGAGGCUGCUUUCAUGAUCACUGUCAUAAGAUGACUUCUUCCUUCUG